AGAACGAACGCUGGCGGCAGGCCUAACACAUGCAAGUCGAACGCCCCGCAAGGGGAGUGGCAGACGGGUGAGUAACGCGUGGGAACAUACCCUUUGGUUCGGAAUAGCUCAGGGAAACUUGAAUUAAUACCGGAUACGUCCGCAAGGAGAAAGAUUUAUCGCCGAAGGAUUGGCCCGCGUCUGAUUAGCUAGUUGGUGGGGUAACGGCCCACCAAGGCGACGAUCAGUAGCUGGUCUGAGAGGAUGAUCAGCCACAUUGGGACUGAGACACGGCCCAAACUCCUACGGGAGGCAGCAGUGGGGAAUAUUGGACAAUGGGCGCAAGCCUGAUCCAGCCAUGCCGCGUGAGUGAUGAAGGCCCUAGGGUUGUAAAGCUCUUUCGUCAGGGACGAUAAUGACGGUACCUGAAGAAGAAGCCCCGGCUAACUUCGUGCCAGCAGCCGC
rnacentral:rRNA from 1 species